UACGGAGGUGGCAAGCGUUGUUCGGAAUUACUGGGCGUAAAGGGCGCGUAGGCGGCAAGGCAAGUCAGGUGUGAAAGCCCCGAGCUUAACUCGGGAAUUGCAUCUGAAACUGCUGUGCUUGAGUUCUGGAGGGGGUAGUGGAAUUCCCAGUGUAGCGGUGAAAUGCGUAGAUAUUGGGAGGAACACCUGCGGCGAAGGCGGCUACCUGGACAGAAACUGACGCUGAGGCGCGAAAGCUAGGGGAGCGAAUGGG
rnacentral:rRNA from 1 species